GGAUGAACGCUGGCGGCGUGCCUAAUCCAUGCAAGUCGAGCGAACGGCCGAGAAGCUUGCUUCUCUGAUGUUAGCGGCGGACGGGUGAGUAACACGUGGAUAACCUACCUAUAAGACUGGGAUAACUUCGGGAAACCGGAGCUAAUACCGGAUAAUAUUUUGAACCGCAUGGUUCAAAAGUGAAAGACGGUCUUGCUGUCACUUAUAGAUGGAUCCGCGCUGCAUUAGCUAGUUGGUAAGGUAACGGCUUACCAAGGCAACGAUGCAUAGCCGACCUGAGAGGGUGAUCGGCCACACUGGAACUGAGACACGGUCCAGACUCCUACGGGAGGCAGCAGUAGGGAAUCUUCCGCAAUGGGCGAAAGCCUGACGGAGCAACGCCGCGUGAGUGAUGAAGGUCUUCGGAUCGUAAAACUCUGUUAUUAGGGAAGAACAUAUGUGUAAGUAACUGUGCACAUCUUGACGGUACCUAAUCAGAAAGCCACGGCUAACUACGUG
rnacentral:rRNA from 1 species